UUAAGGAUGUACUUAGGUGAGGUUAAGUGAAAAUUAAUAAAUUAAAAAGUUAAAAUUAAUACUAUAAACUGGUAGAGCAUCAAUUAAGGAUAAAAAUAAGCUAAAAAUAUUGACAGGUCAUGGACCUCCUUUUCGAGAUAUUUGAGAUUUAAAAUAUGGCGGGAAAAGGCUGACUCGGACUUUUACCUUAUAUUUGCUUUGGUAUUAUUAGUUCUCAAAA
rnacentral:lncRNA from 1 species